rnacentral:misc_RNA from 1 species
ACACCACAAACACACUCCUUAUCUAGAGACGAACAACCCACCCUUGACUCAUUCCACCCUGACAUUACCCAACUACUACAUCGUUACUCACCCAUUUUUUCUAUUCCCCAUGGUCUACCCCCAAACCGACCCCAUGACCACCAUAUCCACCUAAAGCCCCACUCCAACCCCAUCAACAUUAAACCAUAUCGUUACCCUCAUUUUCAGAAGGAAGCCAUGACUUCCAUGAUAGCUGAUAUGCUACAACAGGGGAUCAUUCGACCAAGUACCAGCCCCUAUUCCUCCCCGAUUUUGUUGGUUAAAAAGAAAGAUGGGUCAUGGCGCUUUUGUGUUGACUAUAGAGCACUAAAUGCAAUCACUAUUCGGGAUCGUUUUCCUAUCCCAACAAUUGAUGAACUGU